rnacentral:rRNA from 1 species
CUCAGGGAGGUAGUGACAAGAAAUAACAACACUGGAAAUUUUAUUUCUAGUGAUUGGAAUGAUGGGAAUUUAAACCCCUUUCAGAGUAACAAUUGGAGGGCAAGUCUGGUGCCAGCAGCCGCGGUAAUUCCAGCUCCAAUAGCGUAUAUUAAAGUUGUUGCAGUUAAAAAGCUCGUAGUUGGAUGUCUGCUGGAAGCAAUCAGUCCGCCCUAUUUGUAGGGUGUGCACUUGAUGAAUUCUGGCAUUUUUGUCCCAAUGAUGUAACGGGGCGGUGGUACUCGGUGAAAGCCGAGUAUCCUGUUUUCCGAUUAUUGGGAUACUGUUACUUUGAGAAAAUUAGAGUGUUUGAAGCAGGCUAAUUGCCUUGAAUACUGCAGCAUGGAAUAACAAUAUAGGAUUUCGGUUCUAUUUUGUUGGUUUCUAGGACUGAAAUAAUGAUUAAUAGGGACAGUUGGGGGCAUUCGUAUUUAACUGUCAGAGGUGAAAUUCUUAGAUUUGUUAAAGACGAACUACUGCGAAAGCAUUUGCCAAAGAUGUUUUCAUUAAUCAAGAACGAAAGUUAGGGGCUCGAAGACGAUCAGAUACCGUCGUAGUCUUAACCAUAAACUAUGCCGACUAGAGAUAGGAAGUUGUCAUUUUACUUGACUU